GUCUGCAACUCGACUACAUGAAGCUGGAAUCGCUAGUAAUCGCGAAUCAGAAUGUCGCGGUGAAUACGUUCCCGGGUCCUUGUACACACCGCCCGUCACACCAUGGGAGUCGGGAAUGCCCGAAGUCAGUGACCCAACCGGAAGGAGGGAGCUGCCGAAGGCAGGCUCGAUAACUGGGGUGAAGUCGUAACAAGGUAAC
rnacentral:rRNA from 1 species